CCUUAUAAAGAGUGGUGGAGGGAAUAGGCCCUGUGAAGCCCAGCAACCUGUUUUAUGAAUAAAGGUGCUACAUCCUACGGAUUUCCGGCAGAUAAG
rnacentral:ncRNA from 1 species